CGUGUGGGCAACCUGCCCUGUACUGUGGAAUAAUCAUUGGAAACGAUGACUAAUACCGCAUGUGGUCCUCGGAAGGCAUCUUCUGAGGAAGAAAGGAUUUAUUCGGUACAGGAUGGGCCCGCAUCUGAUUAGCUAGUUGGUGAGAUAAUGGCCCACCAAGGCGACGAUCGGUAGCCGGACUGAGAGGUUGAACGGCCACAUUGGGACUGAGACACGGCCCAG
rnacentral:rRNA from 1 species